rnacentral:rRNA from 1 species
AACGAACGCUGGCGGCAGGCCUAACACAUGCAAGUCGAACGGGCGUAGCAAUACGUUAGUGGCGCACGGGAGAGUAACGCGUGGGAACCUACCUUUUGGUUCGGGAUAACGUCGGGAAACUGACGCUAAUACCGGAUAAGCCCCAUGGGGGAAAGAUUUAUCGCCGAUAGAUGGGCCCGCGUUAGAUUAGCUAGUUGGUGAGGUAAUGGCUCACCAAGGCAACGAUCUGUAGCUGGUCUGAGAGGAUGACCAGCCUCACUGGGACUGAGACACGGCCCAGACUCCUACGGGAGGCAGCAGUGGGGAAUAUUGGACAAUGGGGGAAACCCUGAUCCAGCCAUGCCGCGUGAAUGAUGAAGGCCUUCGGGUUGUAAAGUUCUUUUGGUGGGGACGAUGAUGACGGUACCCACAGAAUAAGCUCCGGCUAACUUCGUGCCAGCCGCCGCCGUAA